GGACGUGAGGACUAUUUACCUGUGACAUCCGACACCCCAUUGAUUUACCAGUCUUGAUCUAGCUGCUGAGGUGGCUGGUUAGGUAGGUGGCUCCUUCCUUACCACUUUAUAUAUGUCCCUCCCAAUGCCACAUUGUCCAAGAGGCUGAUGUUCCCUGGCUGUUCUUCAGCUAGACUGUGUGGAUAGCUGUACUCUCCUGCUAGAACAUCCAAGCAAGCCCCCAGGGGUCCAGUGAUUAAAAG
rnacentral:sRNA from 1 species